UACGAGGGGGGCGAGCGGUGUUCGGAAUUAUUGGGCGUAAAGGGUGCGUAGGCGGUUUGGUAAGUCUGAUGUGAAAUCUAUGGGCUCAACUCAUAGUCUGCAUCGGAAACUGCCGGGCUUGAGUGUGGGAGAGGUGAGUGGAAUUCCUGGUGUAGCGGUGAAAUGCGUAGAUAUCAGGAGGAACACCUGUGGCGAAAGCGGCUCACUGGACCAUAACUGACGCUGAUGCACGAAAGCUAGGGGAGCAAACAGG
rnacentral:rRNA from 1 species